rnacentral:rRNA from 1 species
UACGUAGGGUGCGAGCGUUAAUCGGAAUUACUGGGCGUAAAGCGUGCGCAGGCGGUAAUGCAAGACAGAUGUGAAAUCCCCGGGCUUAACCUGGGAACUGCAUUUGUGACUGCAUUGCUGGAGUGCGGCAGAGGGGAUGGAAUUCCGCGUGUAGCAGUGAAAUGCGUAGAUAUGCGGAGGAACACCGAUGGCGAAGGCAAUCCCCUGGGCCUGCACUGACGCUCAUGCACGAAAGC